AGUGCUUGCCUAGGCAUACUAUGUACUAAAAUUAGAAUGAUACAGAGAAGUUUAGCAUGGCCCCUUGUGCAAGGACAACAUGCAAAUUUGUGAAGUGUUCUCUACUUAA